CUAGUGGUCAGGUGGUUAGGAUUCAGCACUUUCACUGCUGAGGCCCAGGUUCAAACCUUGGUCUAGA
rnacentral:tRNA from 1 species